rnacentral:rRNA from 1 species
CACGUAGGAACCGAGCGUUAUCCGAAUUUACUGGGCGUAAAGCGCGUGUAGGUGGCUCGAUAAGUUGGGUGUGAAAGCUCCUGGCUCAACUGGGAGAGGCCGCUCAAUACUGUCGGGCUUGAGAACGGUAGAGGGAGGUGGAAUUCCCGGUGUAGUGGUGAAAUGCGUAGAUAUCGGGAGGAACACCGGUGGCGAAGGCGGCCUCCUGGACCGUUUCUGACACUGAGACGAGAAAGCUAGGGGAGCGAACGGG